GACGAACGCUGGCGGCGUGCUUAACACAUGCGAGUCGAACGGAAAGGCCCUGCUUUUGUGGGGUGCUCGAGUGGCGAACGGGUGAGUAACACGUGAGUAACCUGCCCUUGACUUUGGGAUAACUUCAGGAAACUGGGGCUAAUACCGGAUAGGAGCUCCUGCUGCAUGGUGGGGGUUGGAAAGUUUCGGCGGUUGGGGAUGGACUCGCGGCUUAUCAGCUUGUUGGUGGGGUAGUGGCUUACCAAGGCUUUGACGGGUAGCCGGCCUGAGAGGGUGACCGGACACAAUGGGACUGAGAUACGGCCCAGACUGCUACGGGAGGCAGCAGUGGGGAAUAUUGCACAAUGGGCGGAAGCCUGAUGCAGCAACGCCGCGUGCGGGAUGACGGCCUUCGGGUUGUAAACCGCUUUCGCCUGUGACGAAGCGUGAGUGACGGUAAUGGGUAAAGAAGCACCGGCUAACUACGUG
rnacentral:rRNA from 1 species